UGAAAAUCAAUAGCGAUCAAUAACGAUUAUCGGUUUGAUGAAAAUGAGGAAGAAAACGGAAUAUCUACUCUUCUCUUCUACUAUCUGAGACCAAACGGCUGUAACGUAGAGCAAACAUAUACGGUCCUUGAUUGCGUGUUAUUCCUGCUAUUAUGGUCUACGCGGGAUCGCGUCUACGUUUUGGCAUUACUGUGGCCGCCUGUUCUUGUUUGUUAAUUAAUAUUGCUUGAAUGUUGACGAUUUUAGCGAAGAGAAUAAUGAAGCGACGAUUGCAUCGCGAAAAUGAGUCGCGGUUAAUUCAUGUGUAGAAAGAUGUUUCGCUAUUUCUUCCAUCGUACUCGCCACGACGUCUUGUAUUGCAAGAUAAAGUUUUGAUAAAAUUGUUGUCUUUUGCCACUGUUAUACAAACAACGAGUAUUUUGCAUGAGCUGCAAAAAUAUUUUAUCAAUAUUAUAGUUCAGGCAGCAUGCAAAAAUAAACAAUAAAGAACGAAAUCAAGCAACCAAGUUUAUAUUUAGGUAUUAGUCAGAAGUAGCAACAAAUCAAAUGCUGCUAUCAGUUUUAAUAUUGACAAUGAUGGUGACCAGAGAUAUUGCCAUUCAGAAAUUUGAGUACAAAUUUCAGGAAUUUUACUUUACAAUCUGUAGGACAAUUAUAUGGAAAAAGACAAAUGCAUAGAUUUGAAUGGUACAUUCUUUUCCCUGAAUGCUCCAUCACAAGCGGCAGGUAGUCGCAAGCGUCUGAAAAAUGAAGAGAGAAACAGAGCGAAACAAUGUAAAAGGCAACGGACGGCUGAGAACAAGAGGACAUUGUUGCAACGUUG